rnacentral:rRNA from 1 species
UACGUAGGGGCUAGCGUUGUCCGGAUUUAUUGGGCGUAAAGAGCGUGUAGGCGGCCAGAUAAGUCCGCUGUGAAAUCUCGAGGCUCAACUUCGAGCUGUCGGUGGAAACUAUCUGGCUAGAGUCCGGAAGAGGAGAGUGGAAUUCCCGGUGUAGCGGUGAAAUGCGCAGAUAUCGGGAAGAACACCCGUGGCGAAGGCGGCUCUCUGGGACGGUACUGACGCUGAGACGCGAAAGCGUGGGGAGCGAACAGG